rnacentral:rRNA from 1 species
CGUAAACAAAGGGAAGCGACCACGUGAGUGUAAGCGAAUCCCAAAAAUAACGUCUCAGUUCGGAUUGUAGUCUGCAACUCGACUACAUGAAGCUGGAAUCGCUAGUAAUCGCGAAUCAGAAUGUCGCGGUGAAUACGUUCCCGGGUCUUGUACACACCGCCCGUCACACCAUGGGAGUUGGGAAUGCCCGAAGCCGGUGACCUAACCGAAAGGGAGGAGCCGUCGAAGGCAGGCUUGAUAACUGGGGUGAAGUCGUAACAAGGUAAC